AACGACCUUUCAUCUGGAGGACACAGACAUUUAAGGCUGGAUAUUUUCUUGACAGGAACAUUUAUGACUCCUACUCUUUAAGUUUUUAGUUUUACCCUUUCUGAGCUGAGGUAAAGUUGUUUGUGUUGUGAAAUUGUUUCACUUUCAACUUGUUGGCAUCGAGUGCUUGUAUCAAACUUUAGUUGCGUCAUUGUGGUGUUUCACAGAGUGGGAUUACUGACAAUUUUUGGAGGAUGAGGUGUGUGUGGGCUGCACUCUGUGGGAUUGUACUGCUAACACAGGUUAUUAUAACCAAUUCACAAACCUCAGAUUCACCCAGUGGUGACUGCUCUCAGUUUGACUCGUGCAAUGGCUGCAUCAGCGGAGACCCGGCCCUCAACCUGACACGAUGUGUGUGGCAAAGUUGUAAUGACGGAAAUGACACAAGAUGCAUGUCUGACACCGAAGACUUUGGAGGCUGCUCUGUCUACAAUGAGACCAGCAUGUGCCAAG